rnacentral:misc_RNA from 1 species
GAUGAGAACGUAGCGAAAUGCGAUAAGUAAUGUGAAUUGCAGAAUUCAGUGAAUCAUCGAAUCUUUGAACGCACAUUGCGCCCGCCAGUAUUCUGGCGGGCAUGCCUGUUCGAGCGUCAUUUCAACCAUCAAGCCCCCGGCUUGUGUUGGGGACCUGCGGCUGCCGCAGGCCCUGAAAAGCAGUGGCGGGCUCGCUGUCACACCGAGCGUAGUAGCAUACAUCUCGCUCUGGGCGUGCUGCGGGUUCCGGCCGUUAAACCACCUUCAUAACCCAAGGUUGACCUCGGAUCAGGUAGGAAGACCCGCUGAACUUAAGCAUAUCAAUAAGCGGAGGA